AUCCCUCACAGACAUGAUCAGGGACGAGGGCGGGGGACCCACACGUCCUUCGUAGAUAUCCGGCCGGCUCUCGCGGCGCCCCACCGGGCCCCGAGCAGUCGACCUAGGGGUGAAGCCUCUCCGCUCCAGCCAGGAGCGCACCGAGGCCGGGCUACCUCUCAGCCCGAAUCCGACAGCUGACCUCGCAGGCGCGUGUGGAGAGGAUUU
rnacentral:sRNA from 2 species